rnacentral:lncRNA from 10 species
CUCGGCCUGCACUCGGCGGAAAGGUUGUUGUCCAAGCGGCGUUCCGGGGCAAGGCCCGAGGUGUGUCCCGCUGAGCAGUGGGUCGUCCGCGUCUGGGCUGCGGGCUUCCAGGCGGGCGCCUGCCGAGGCCCUGUCCCCGGAUCCCGAGUCCCUGGCUGGCCCGCAGUCUUCUUCCACUGCACCGGGGAAACGUUCUUGCCCCUACCGACUCCUGAGAGCCGCUGGGCCGAAUCUCCAGGAAGGCGAUUCCGAGGCCAGUUUUAGUCUGUAGUGGGUAAAGUGCCUCCUUCGUGGAGACUCCCUGGGUUUCUCCUAGACACUUAGAUUGAGGAGCUCCUGUUGGGGCCCAGCCUGUGGCGCCGGGAGCGGGAUCAGGUAGGGGCAGCGUAGACAAGGUCCUCAAAUAACCUUUUCACCAGGUAGACUGGAAUAACGGGGAGAGAUGCGAAGUGUUUGAGGAGCUCAGCGGGGAAACAGGGCAGGCAAGGGAUUAGGUAAAGGCGAGGGAGGAGGAGAUUGCGUUGGCGCUGGAGCGGUAUUCCUCUUAGAAGGGAUAAAGGGAGAUGAAUGUAGCGCCGAAUUUAGUUGGUCCUUGAAUAAUGGGUGGAGCAGUUGAAUACUCCACCAGAUAGGAAGCCUGAAGUCCCCGAGGUUUAUGAUUUGCAGUCAGACUGGAGAGUGUUCCUAGAAAAUUGGCCAUAUACUGUAUAGCGAAUGUGAGGCUGGAUUGCAGGUGAAGAGCCUGGGAGCAAUGAGAAGUCGCGAAGAGAGUGUAUCUUCCCAGGUGAGAGGCAAGCGUAAGGAAUUUUUUUUUUAACAGUCUUGCUCUGUCGCCCAGGUUGGAGUGCAGUGGUGCGAUCUG